rnacentral:rRNA from 1 species
GACGAACGCUGGCGGCGUGCUUAACACAUGCAAGUCGAACGCUGAAGCCCUUCGGGGUGGAUGAGUGGCGAACGGGUGAGUAACACGUGGGUAAUCUGGCCUGCACCCUGGGAUAAGCCUUGGAAACGGCGUCUAACACCGCGCAGGACACAUCGCCGCAUGGUGUGUGAGUGCAAAGUUCCGGCGGCGCAGGUUGAGGCCGCGGCCUAUCAGCUUGUUGGUGGGGUGAUGGCCUACCAAUGAGACGAUCCGUAGCUGGUCUGGGAGGACGACCAGCCACACUGGAACUGAGACACGGUCCAGACUCCUACGGCAGGCAGCAGUGGGGAAUAUUAGACAAUGGGCGCAAGCCUGAUCCAGCCAUGCCGCGUGUGUGAAGAAGGCCUUCGGGUUGUAAAGCACUUUCAGUAGGGAGGAAGGGUUAAGUGUUAAUAGUACUUAACUUUGACGUUACCUACAGAAGAAGCACCGGCUAGCUCUGUGCCA